AUUGAACGCUAGCGGGAUGCCUUACACAUGCAAGUCGAACGGAGUGGCGAACGGGUGAGUAAUGUAUCGGAACGUGCCCAGUAGCGGGGGAUAACUACGCGAAAGCGUAGCUAAUACCGCAUACUAUUGGAGCGGCCGAUAUCGGAUUAGCUAGUUGGUGGGGUAACGGCUCACCAAGGCGACGAUCCCUAGCUGGUUUGAGAGGACGACCAGCCACACUGGGAGUGAGACACGGCCCGAACCCCUAGGGGAGGAAGGAGGGGGAAAUUUUGGAAAAUGGGGGAAACCCUGAUCCAGCCAUCCCGCGUGUGCGAGGAAGGCCUUCGGGUUGUAAAGCACUUUUGGCAGGAAAGCGGUACCUGCAGAAUAAGCACCGGCUAACUACGUGCCAGCCGCCGCGGUAAUC
rnacentral:rRNA from 1 species